GCUUAUACAUGCAAGUCGUGGGGCAGCACGGGUAGCAAUACCUGGUGGCGACCGGCAAACGGGUGCGGAACACGUACGCAACUUCCCUUCAAGUGGGGAAUAGCCCAGGGAAACUUGGAUUAAUACCCCUUAACAUUAUGAGAUGGCAUCAUUUUAUAAUUAAAGCUCCGGCGCUUGAAGAUGGGCGUGCGCCUGAUUAGGUAGUUGGCGGGGUAACGGCCCACCAAGCCUACGAUCAGUAACUGGUGUGAGAGCACGACCAGUCACACGGGCACUGAGACACGGGCCCGACUCCUACGGGAGGCAGCAGUAAGGAAUAUUGGUCAAUGGACGCAAGUCUGAACCAGCCAUGCCGCGUGGAGGAUGAACGCCCUCUGGGUUGUAAACUU
rnacentral:rRNA from 1 species